AACGUACGCUGGCGGCACGCCUAACACAUGCAAGUCGAACGAAGUAGCAAUACUUAGUGGCAGACGGGUGAGUAACAUGUGGGUAUCUGCCCUUUGGCCUGGAAUAACACGAGGAAACUUGUGCUAAUACCGGAUAAGUCUUUACGGAGAAAGCUUUAUGCACCAUUGGAUGAGCCCGCACUUGAUUAGUUUGUUGGUGGGGUAAUGGCCUACCAAGACUGUGAUCAAUAGCUGAUUUGAGAGGAUGAUCAGCCACAUUGGGACUGAGACACGGCCCAAACUCCUACGGGAGGCAGCAGUGGGGAAUCUUGCACAAUGGAGGAAACUCUGAUGCAGCGAUGCCGCGUGAGUGAAGAAGGCCCUUGGGUUGUAAAGCUCUUUCGUCGGGGAAGAAAAUGACUGUACCCGAAUAAGAAGGUCCGGCUAACUUCGUGCCAGCAGCCGCGGUAAUACGAAGGGACCUAGCGUAGUUCGGAAUUACUGGGCUUAAAGAGUUCGUAGGUGGUUGAAAAAGUUAGUGGUGAAAUCCCAGAGCUUAACUCUGGAACUGCCAUUAAAACUUUUCAGCUAGAGUAUGAUAGAGGAAAGCAGAAUUUCUAGUGUAGAGGUGAAAUUCGUAGAUAUUAGAAAGAAUACCAAUUGCGAAGGCAGCUUUCUGGAUCAUUACUGACACUGAGGAACGAAAGCAUGGGUAGCGAAGAGGAUUAGAUACCCUCGUAGUCCAUGCCGUAAACGAUGUGUGUUAGACGUUGGAAAUUUAUUUUCAGUGUCGCAGCGAAAGCGAUAAACACACCGCCUGGGGAGUACGACCGCAAGGUUAAAACUCAAAUGAAUUGACGGGGACCCGCACAAGUAGUGGAGCAUGUGGUUUAAUUCGAAGAUACGCGCAGAACCUUACCAACACUUGACAUGUUCGUCGCGACUCUAAGAGAUUAGAGUUUUCGGUUCGGCCGGACGAAACACAGGUGCUGCAUGGCUGUCGUCAGCUCGUGUCGUGAGAUGUUGGGUUAAGUCCCGCAACGAGCGCAACCCUCACUUUUAGUUGCCAUCAUUAAGUUGGGCACUCUGAAAGAACUGCCAGUGAUAAGCUGGGGGAAGGUGGGGAUGACGUCAAGUCCUCAUGGCCCUUACGUGUUGGGCUACACACGUGCUACAAUGGUAUCUACAACAGGAAGCAAGACUGCGAGGUCAAGCAAAUCCUUAAAAGAUACCUCAGUUCGGAUUGCACUCUGCAACUCGAGUGCAUGAAGCUGGAAUUACUAGUAAUCGUGGAUCAGCGUGCCACGGUGAAUGCGUUCCCGGGUCU
rnacentral:rRNA from 1 species